UGAAUUUUGUUGUUUUGUAGAUAUUUGAUUGAUGUAGAAGGCAUGUGGCCAGAUGAUGCAAUUGAAUACUGGUGUUUUAUCUUUACAAGUUCUGCGUCGUUCCAUAAGAAAGCUGCUCUUCUUCUGGUUUCAUAAGAGAUGGUGAACAAUGUUGAUCUUCUUCCAUGUAAGGGUUUGGAGAGAUUCAGAGACUGUGCGGCUGCCUCCAUCUUUCUGAGGUCCUGCUCAAUCUUUUUUGACAUAAUUAUUUUGAAAUUGGAGAGUGGUGAUGUUUGCACAGCAUUGUGAAUGUAUUUAAUGUCACUGAAUUGUAUACUUGAAAAUGGUUGAAAUACUACAUUUUGUUUUAUGUGUAUUUUACCAUAAUA